rnacentral:rRNA from 1 species
UUCGCAAUGCCCGAAAGGGUGACGAAGCGACGCCGCGUGGGUGAGGAAGGCCUUCGGGUUGUAAAGCUCUGUCAGGAGUUAAGAAAUAUAAGUGUGCUAAUACCACAUUAUUUGACAAAGGCUCCAAAGGAAGCCACGGCUAACUCUGUGCCAGCAGCCGCGGUAAGACGAAGGUGGCAAACGUUGCUCGGAAUUACUGGGCAUAAAGCGCGCGUAGGUGGCUUGGUAAGCGGGGAAUGAAAUCCCAUGGCUCACCCAUGGAACUGUUCUCCGAACUGCUUUGCUUGAGGACGGGAGGGGGAAGUGGAAUUCCUGGUGUAGCGGUGAAAUGCGUAGAUAUCAGGAGGAACGCCGGUGGCGAAAGCGACUUCCUGGCCCGAUCCUGACACUGAGGUGCGAAAGCUAGGGGAGCAAACAGGAUUAGAUACCCUGGUAGUCCUAGCUGUAAACGAUGGGCACUAAGUAGAGGGGUUUUA